CUGUAUUCAAGGUACCAAGGAUCAAUAUUUAAAUCUGAUGUUCGUGAGAAUUCGAAACAAAGUUUAAUUUCGGACGACUUUUAUCAAUUCGUUGAAAUUUGCCUAAAUAAAAAUCCAAUUCGUCGUUGGAAUGCUUCAAAAUUAAUGACGCACUCCUUUUUAAAACAAUGCCGCAAUACGACAAUGUCAGAACAUCUUAAAGAUUUGUGCAACGAUUUAUCGACAUUUACAAAUGAAAAUAUUGAGUUUGCCUCCAAACCUUGCGCGAACGUAAUCAAUUGUAAUGACGUUACAAAUUGGUGUUUUUAAUCGGUUCAUUGUAUACAUUUUGAAUAAAGUUUAAUAUGGUUAUGUCCAAUA